CAAAACUCCUAUUUAACGUCCUCUAAGAAAAGGUCUACACACUAGAUACAUGGGAAAUAGCACUCUGAACUCCUUGAGACAGAAAAAGGUUCUCAUGUUGGGAGAAUUCAGCUGCUAUGUCAUGAGGCAGCCCCGUGGAGAAGCCACCAUGAAAGAACUUGGAAGUAAAUCUUCUGGGGUCCACCAAAAUUCAUGUGAAUGAGCUUGGCAGUAGAGCCCCCUCCAGCUGAACCUCAAGGGGACUGCAGCCUUUGCCAACAUCAUGAGUGUAGCCUGGUGAAAUACCCUGACCCAGAACCAUCCAGGUUGACAAGAUAGCCAGAGACAAAGCCGUGGAGUGGAGUAGUGGAGCCAUGGAGCCAUGAAGCAGCCCUGGGGAGUGUUGUGAAGCUAUGAGAAGAGACACUGGUACAUUCGUGGAUGGGGCGUGUGGUUCCUGAGGAAAGCGUGACAGGUGUGGCUGGAAGGAAGCACAUCAAAAUUCCCUUGAAGACUUGUCAAAUACCCGUCAUGCUCAGAACCUGCUGCUUAUUGCCUCCCUGACCCCCACUCGCCUGCAACCUUUCCCCCGAGGGUGUGUUCAAGGCCAGGGGAGUUGUGUGCAGGUGAAAAGCCAGCUGCAAGGGAGUCUCCAGAGGAGGAGGGGUAUAAGAUGCUGGAGAGAACAGACAGCUAAUGGCUCAGAGCCCAGAGCGAGGGGACGAAAACAGACUCGCAAUCUGUUGUGAAGGAUUGAGGGGUUCAUUUUGAAAAGGAAGAUGAAAACCGCAUCUUCUGAGAAGAUUGGAAGCAAGUGGGUGAAAAUAAGGACAGCUUUGGAAGAAGAGAGAGAGUAUGCUAAAAAGCAAAGUGAAAGUAACUGUCAUUGUUGACCAAUAGGAAUUGGUC